rnacentral:tRNA from 2 species
GCUCGGGUGGUGGAAUGGCAGACACGUAUGUUUGAGGGACAUAUGCCGAGAGGUGUGGGGGUUCGAGUCCCCCCCCGAGCACCA